GUGUCAGCCGCCGCGGUAAUACGUAGGGUGCGAGCGUUAAUCGGAAUUACUGGGCGUAAAGCGUGCGCAGGUGGUUUUGUAAGUCAGAUGUGAAAUCCCCGGGCUUAACCUGGGAACUGCGUUUGAAACUGCAAGGCUAGAGUGUGGCAGAGGGGGGUGGAAUUCCGCGUGUAGCAGUGAAAUGCGUAGAGAUGUGGAGGAACACCGAUGGCGAAGGCAGCCCCCUGGGUCAGCACUGACGCUCAGGCACGAAAGCAUGGGGAGCAAACAGGAUUAGAUACCCUGGUAGUCCAUGCCCUAAACGAUGUCAACUAGUUGUCGGGUCUUAACGGGCUUGGUAACGUAGCUAACGCGUGAAGUUGACCGCCUGGGGAGUACGAUCGCAAGAUUAAAACUCAAAGGAAUUGACGGGGACCCGCACAAGCGGUGGAUUAUGUGGAUUAAUUCGAUGCAACGCGAAAAACCUUACCUACCCUUGACAUGUAUCGAAGCCCGCAGAGAUGUGGGUGUGCCCGAAAGGGAACGAUAACACAGGUGCUGCAUGGCUGUCGUCAGCUCGUGUCGUGAGAUGUUGGGUUAAGUCCCGCAACGAGCGCAACCCUUGUCAUUAAUUGCCAUCAUUUAGUUGGGCACUUUAAUGAGACUGCCGGUGACAAACCGGAGGAAGGUGGGGAUGACGUCAAGUCCUCAUGGCCCUUAUGGGUAGGGCUUCACACGUAAUACAAUGGCGCGUACAGAGGGUUGCCAACCCGCGAGGGGGAGCCAAUCUCAGAAAGCGUGUCGUAGUCCGGAUCGGAGUCUGCAACUCGACUCCGUGAAGUCGGAAUCGCUAGUAAUCGCGGAUCAGCAUGUCGCGGUGAAUACGUUCCCGGGUCUUGCACACACCGCCCGUC
rnacentral:rRNA from 1 species